rnacentral:lncRNA from 1 species
UUGGAACUCAUAUUGCUUGAAAAUUAUCAAAUUAUCUGUCAACUAUUAUAUAUCUUUAAUGUGUGAAUCUUAACAAGUUGAGUAUCUAAUACUCAAAUUAUCUAUGAUCCUGCUAUAGUUUGAUCAACUGGAUCGAUCAUUGGCAUUUAUAUUAGCCAGUUUCAUGUCAAUUUAUCUCGUGAUCAUGAAUCUUUGUCUAGUUUCCUUUCGGCUAAAAGGAGG